GAGUGGAAGUGUAAAACCUCACUGGGCUCAGUGCCUUUAGGGAGGUGACAAGAAACAUGCUUCUAUGAGUGAGCAUGAAUAACUAGUGGGUGACAAGGGGCAUGGCAAAGUCUGUGGCCAAUUUGAGAGUUCAUGCUCCACCUGUAGGUAUGCAAAUGAAAGCAAAUGAGGUGGGGUUUUGCUGGGCACCCAUACCGAGCAUCUUCAGACCUGUGGCAUCAGCCCACUGUGGGAUGCAGGUGUGACGGAGGGAAAGCUGCACCACACACACGAUGCAAGAAGUUUCUUUGAAGAUGGGAAAAGGAGCAAAGAAGCAUCAGGAGGAUGUGCCUGUCCGGAGCUCCACUGCGAGUAGAUUCAGCCCAGCCGUGCCUGCAGCUUGCCUCGACACUCAGGACUCCAGCCAGACAUGACUUGAGUCUCUCCAUCCUCGGAAUUCCUGUAGCCUUCACUGCCUUACUUCCCAUUUUGAAUUUUUAUUGUACUUCCCUUCAGCCUUAUGAUCUUUCUUCUGUAUAUGUGUUACUUCUCCAUGU